rnacentral:rRNA from 1 species
ACGGGAGGCAGCAGUGGGGAAUAUUGCACAAUGGGCGAAAGCCUGAUGCAGCAACGCCGCGUGAGGGACGACGGCCUUCGGGUUGUAAACNNNUUUUAGCAGGGAAGAAGCGAAAGUGACGGUACCUGCAGAAAAAGCGCCGGCUAACUACGUGCCAGCAGCCGCGGUAAUACGUAGGGCGCAAGCGUUAUCCGGAAUUAUUGGGCGUAAAGAGCUCGUAGGCGGUUUGUCGCGUCUGCUGUGAAAUCCCGAGGCUCAACCUCGGGUCUGCAGUGGGUACGGGCAGACUAGAGUGCGGUAGGGGAGAUUGGAAUUCCUGGUGUAGCGGUGGAAUGCGCAGAUAUCAGGAGGAACACCGAUGGCGAAGGCAGAUCUCUGGGCCGUAACUGACGCUGAGGAGCGAAAGGGUGGGGAGCAAACAGGCUUAGAUACCCUGGUAGUCCACCCCGUAAACGUUGGGAACUAGUUGUGGGGUCCAUUCCACGGAUUCCGUGACGCAGCUAACGCAUUAAGUUCCCCGCCUGGGGAGUACGGCCGCAAGGCUAAAACUCAAAGGAAUUGACGGGGACCCGCACAAGCGGCGGAGCAUGCGGAUUAAUUCGAUGCAACGCGAAGAACCUUACCAAGGCUUGACAUAUACGAGAACGGGCCAGAAAUGGUCAACUCUUUGGACACUCGUAAACAGGUGGUGCAUGGUUGUCGUCAGCUCGUGUCGUGAGAUGUUGGGUUAAGUCCCGCAACGAGCGCAACCCUCGUUCUAUGUUGCCAGCACGUAAUGGUGGGAACUCAUGGGAUACUGCCGGGGUCAACUCGGAGGAAGGUGGGGAUGACGUCAAAUCAUCAUGCCCCUUAUGUCUUGGGCUUCACGCAUGCUACAAUGGCCGGUACAAAGGGCUGCAAUACCGUAAGGUGGAGCGAAUCCCAAAAAGCCGGUCCCAGUUCGGAUUGAGGUCUGCAACUCGACCUCAUGAAGUCGGAGUCGCUAGUAAUCGCAGAUCAGCAACGCUGCGGUGAAUACGUUCCCGGGUCUUGUACACACCGCCCGUCAAGUCAUGAAAGUCGGUAACACCUGAAGCCGGUGGCCCAACCC